GACAGAGGCCUCAAGCGUUAGGCGGAAUCACUGGGCUUAAAGCGUGUGUAGGCGGAUCGUUAAGUGUCUUGUGAAAUCCCACGGCUCACCCGUGGAACUGCUGGGCAUACUGGCGAUCUUGGGCCAACUAGGGGCAACUGGAACAAGCGGUGGAGCGGUGAAAUGCGUAGAUAUCGCUUGGAACGCCGAAGGUGAAAACAGUCUGCUGGGGGCGUGCCGACGCUGAGACACGAAAGCCAGGGGAGCGAACGGG
rnacentral:rRNA from 1 species